rnacentral:rRNA from 1 species
AUUGAACGCUGGCGGCAUGCCUUACACAUGCAAGUCGAACGGCAGCACGGGAGCAAUCCUGGUGGCGAGUGGCGAACGGGUGAGUAAUAUAUCGGAACGUGCCCGGUCGUGGGGAUAACGUAGCGAAAGCUACGCUAAUACCGCAUACGAUCUACGGAUGAAAGCGGGGGAUCGCAAGACCUCGCGCGAUUGGAGCGGCCGAUAUCAGAUUAGGUAGUUGGUGAGGUAAAGGCUCACCAAGCCGACGAUCUGUAGCUGGUCUGAGAGGACGACCAGCCACACUGGGACUGAGACACGGCCCAGACUCCUACGGGAGGCAGCAGUGGGGAAUUUUGGACAAUGGGCGCAAGCCUGAUCCAGCAAUGCCGCGUGCAGGAUGAAGGCCUUCGGGUCGUUAACGUAACGUACGUUU